rnacentral:pre_miRNA from 1 species
CAGAGCUUAGCUGAUUGGUGAACAGUGAUCAUUUUUGCUUUGUUCACAGUGGCUAAGUUCUGCA